AACUGAUACUACCUGCGGGAACCUGCGGAAGGAUCAUUACCGAGUUAUACAACUCCCAAACCCACUGUGAACCUUACCUCAGUUGCCUCGGCGGGAACGCCCCGGCCGCCUGCCCCCGCGCCGGCGCCGGACCCAGGCGCCCGCCGCAGGGACCCCAAACUCUCUUGCAUUACGCCCAGCGGGCGGAAUUUCUUCUCUGAGUUGCACAAGCAAAAACAAAUGAAUCAAAACUUUUAGCAA
rnacentral:misc_RNA from 1 species